CGGGGCUCAAUGCCUUGUAAUUGGAAUGAUGGGAAUCUAAACCCCUUCCAGAGUAUCAAUUGGAGGGCAAGUCUGGUGCCAGCAGCCGCGGUAAUUCCAGCUCCAAUAGCGUAUAUUAAAAUUGUUGCAGUUAAAAAGCUCGUAGUUGAAUUUCUGCCGCCCCGACGAGACCCCACGGGCCCGACGCUGCGGCUUAUUUCGGACUUGCGUGCAUCUCCGAAUGUUUACUUUGAGAAAAUUAGAGUGCUCAAAGCAGGCCCUUGCCUUGAAUACUUUAGCAUGGAAUAAUAAAGUAGGACUUUGGUUCUAUUUUGUUGGUUUAGCACCAAAGUAAUGGUUAAUAGGAACAGUUGGGGGCAUUCGUAUUUAACUGUCAGAGGUGAAAUUCUUAGAUUUGUUAAAGACGAACCACUGCGAAAGCAUUUGCCAAGGAUGUUUUCAUUAAUCAAGAAC
rnacentral:rRNA from 1 species